rnacentral:tRNA from 1 species
CCUCCUUAAAAGUAGACGAGUUGGGCGUGAAAGCGUCCACACAAUUUGCCUGUUUGAUGUCCGUGACCACGGGUCUGUAGCUCAGUUGGUUAGAGCGCACCCCUGAUAAGGGUGAGGUCGGAAGUUCAAAUCUUCCCAGACCCACCAUUUCUUCGAGCAAGAAGAUCUUUCGGGGCCAUAGCUCAGCUGGGAGAGCACCUGCUUUGCAAGCAGGGGGUCGGCGGUUCGAUCCCGCCUGGCUCCACCAGGAGACAAACGCCAGUAGCAUCGGCUAUUUUCGUUUGUCCCCUGAUCAGGUCUGGUCGGGAACCGUUCUUUAAAAAUUUGGGUAGUGAUAUACGACGGUGAAGUCGAUUCCCUUCGGGGAAGAAACUUUUCUGGGUAUACCAGCAUUUACUAGUAAGUUCAGACUCUAAAGAAGUUCAGUCUUCUUUGGGGUUUAUAUUGAUCAAGCGACUAAGCCGCGCACGGUGGUAUGCCUUUGGCAAAAGGGCGAAUUUCCAGGCACCACUGGGCGGGCCGGUUACUAAGUGGGAUCCGGAGCCUCGGGUACCAAGCCUUUGGCCGUUAAUCCUUGGGUCAUUAAGCUUUUUUUCCUGUUUUGAAAAAUUGUUAUCCCGCCUUCAACAAAUUCCCCCCACCAA